rfam:Aspergillus zonatus CBS 506.65 unplaced genomic scaffold ASPZOscaffold_2, whole genome shotgun sequence.
GGCCGGCUGGCCUAGUGGUUAAGGCGCUCGUUUCCGGUGCGAGAGAUGGCAGGUUCGAAUCCUGCGUCGGUCG